AUCUAAAUUAAUAAAUAAUUAAAGUAGGUUCACUGUGUAGUGGACACGAGGUUUUUGAAUAUACACAUGGAACUCGGUCUACAUGAAGUCAUGAACAAACAAACACCUAAUUGAGAAACAAACCAUAUGAUAAUUUUAAUAAUACGUUCUUGAGGAAGUGCCCGGUGCCUGGUAGCUUGAAGUGGUCAAAUUUCAAUAAUACGUUAUCGAGGAAGUGCCUGGUAUCUUGAAGUGACCACUGACGGUGACCUAUACACCGACGGAGACCAUGCAGGUGGUGUUGAGUAGGCCUAUGUGAGAUUUAAGAGGCGGUGUAGAGUGUGAAGAUACUCGCAAAGUCGCAAUGGGAGGCAAAGUGGUCGGUGUCACAAGGCAUCGGUGAGGCCCAACAGUAAAAGUGGUUUGAUGAAAAUGACAACGUACUAGAUCCCGUUGCAACGCACGGACAUAUUUGCUAGUUCAAUAAUACUCCUAUGUACAGUCCACAUGUCAAAGCCCAACAGAAAAGCCCACCUAGACCACCUUCUUCCUCUUCUCUCUUUUUCUCGUUCUCCCCUUCUCUCCCUCACGUUCUCUCCAGCGCCGCCGCUUCCUAGGCAGCGCCGGCGACCUCCCCUGCGCCGGCUGCCACACCCCACUCCGGCGACCCCUCUAGCCGUCGCCGGGCUGAAUCAGCUUCUUGGCUCCUCACUUCUCUGCCCCUAAGCUAACCCUAGCCUCUGACCUCUUCAACCUAAGAUGCAACCGGCGGCCAAUUCUGGCGAGAUAAGGAUUUAGGGAAGUUUCCCAGGCCCCUACCGCUGGAUCUACUCUCCUCCCCUAUUUUAAUUUUUGGUUACCUCUGAUGAUUCUACCGUGAUUGAAAAAUAUGUGGUUCAGCUCCUCCUUCAGAAAUCCAAGUCUUCUCUUCUACUGCUGCUCUUCUGGAUCUAAGGUGAUUUUGCUAGAACUGAGCUUCUCCACCUUGAGCUUGGUUGAUUGUUCCCCCUCUUGAACUGAACCCCCUGCUCUACUUGGAACUCAGGUAAUUCUCCUCCUUGGCUCUUGCUCUACUGGUAAUACUUGACUGCUUCCUGACAGGAUCUGCUACUGGUGAUUCUCUUCCUCCUCUUGAGACUAAUCCUCUUUCUUGAUUUUCGCUCUAUCUUGCUUCUUGACCUGAGUUUCAUCUCCUCCCAUAGUUGGAGUUCAUCCAAGAACUGAACACCUCUACUUUUCCUUCAGAUUUGGUUCACCACUCUCUGAUUGCUUGGCCAUGGUUACUACUACUUGUUGAUUCAUGUAUUGGUUUGAGCUGGACUUCAGUUGAGCUAUUUCUGUCCGGGUGGAGCUAACAUUCUAGCUGAUUUUCCUAAGCUUGGUUCUAUGAUUCUAACUACUACUGCCGCAGCUGCUGCUAUUGCUCUACUGCGGUAGGUGCUUGAGGUGGUUUUCCAGCCGAUGCAACCGAGGCUGGGGUUCACUGAAUAGUUUGGUUGAUAUAUAUGUGAAUUUGGUGAAGACUAGGUGACUCACCUACUUUAGUUUUGGUGGUUGUUUCACUGACUGACACCUAAGCAGUGCUUGAUCGGUGGAGUAAUGUGGGAUUUCACUAAAUUUUUCUAGUUACAUAAAUUCUGAUACAAUUAGGUACUUUUGCACUUGAGUCCCUCGGGGUCUCUAAAAUUGAAGUUUACUCUGAGAUUAGGGACUGAUUUGUAAUUGUUCUAGAACUCAAGAGUUUUUCUGAAAACUAAAUAAUUAUUGAAUCUUUGACUGAGAUGGUUCAGUUUAUGAUAUGAUAUCCAUAAGCACCAUGCAUAUGCACAAUA